rnacentral:rRNA from 1 species
GAUGAACGCUAGCGGCAGGCCUAAUACAUGCAAGUCGAACGGUAAGGCCUCUUCGGAGGUACACGAGUGGCGGACGGGUGCGUAACGCGUAUGCAACCUACCCUUUAGAGGGGGAUAGCCUGGAGAAAUUCAGAUUAAUACCCUAUGGUAUCUAGAAAUCGCAUGGUUUUUGGAUUAAAACUUCGGUGUUAAAGGAUGGGCAUGCGUGACAUUAGCUAGAUGGUGAGGUAACGGCUCACCAUGGCAACGAUGUCUAGCUGGUCUGAGAGGAUGAUCAGCCACACUGGGACUGAGACACGGCCCAGACUCCUACGGGAGGCAGCAGUAGGGAAUAUUGGACAAUGGACGAAAGUCUGAUCCAGCCAUGCCGCGUGAGGGAAGACGGUUCUCUGAAUUGUAAACCUCUUUUAGCAGGGAAUAAGUCAGUGGUAUAGUCACUGUUGAAGGUACCUGCAGAAUAAGCACCGGCUAACUCCG